rnacentral:rRNA from 1 species
GGUUUGAUCAUGGCUCAGAUUGAACGCGGGAUGCUUUACACAUGCAAGCUCAGAACGGCAGCACGGACUUCGGUCUGGUGGCGAGGGCGAACGGGUGAGUAAUGUAUCGGAACGUGCCUAGUAGCGGGGGAUAACUACGCGAAAGCGUAGCUAAUACCGCAUACGCCCUUCGGGGGAAAGCGGUGGGACCUUCGGGCCUCGCAUUGUCAGGAGCGGCCGAUAUCGGAUUAGCUAGCUGGUGGGUAACGGCUCACCAAGGCGACGAUCCGUAGCUGGUUUGAGAGGACGACCAGCCACACUGGGACUGAGACACGGCCCAGACUCCUACGGGAGGCAGCAGUGGGGAAUUUUGGACAAUGGGGGAAACCCUGAUCCAGCCAUCCCGCGUGUGCGAUGAAGGCCUUCGGGUUGUAAAGCACUUUUGGCAGGAAAGAAUCGCACGGGGAUAAUUCUCGUGCAACUGACGGUACCGCAGAAUAAUAAGCACCGGCUAACUACGUGCCAGCAGCCGCGGUAAUGCUGUGAAGUGCAAGCGUUAAUCGGAAUUAAUAAGCGCAAAGCGUAAGUGCAGGCGGUUCGGAAAGAAAGAUGUGAAAUCCCAGAGCUAACUUUGAACUUGCAUUUUUAAUCAGUUUGAGCUAGAGUGUGCCGGAGGGAGGUGGAAAUCGCAGCAGUGAAAUGUGCAGAUAUGCGGAGGAAAUUACCGAUGGCGAAGGCAGCCUCCUGGGAUAACACUGACGCUCAUGCACGAAAGCGUGGGGAGCAACACGAGGAUUAGAUACCCUGGUAGUCCACGCCCUAAACGAUGUCAACUAGCUGUUGGGGCCUUCGGGCUUUGUAGCGCAGCUAACGCGUGAAGUUGACCGCCUCUGGGGAGUACGGUCGCAAGAUUAAAACUCAAAGGAAUUGACGGGGACCCGCACAAGCGGUGGGAUGAUGUGGAUUAAUUCGAUGCAACGCGAAAAACCUUACCUACCCUUGACAUGUCUGGAAUCCCGAAGAUUUGGGAGUGCUCGUGGAGAACCGGAACACAGGUGCUGCAUGGCUGUCGUCAGCUCGUGUCGAGAUGUUGGGUUAAGUCCCGGCAAACGAGCGCAACCCUUGUCAUUAGUUGCUACGAAAGGGCACUCUAAUGAGACUGCCGGUGACAAACCGAGGAAGGUGGGGAUGACGUCAAGUCCUCAUGGCCCUUAUGGGUAGGGCUUCACACGUCAUACAAUGGUCGGGACAGAGGGUCGCCAACCCGCGAGGGGGAGCCAAUCCCAGAAACCCGAUCGAACCGGAUCGCAGUCUGCAACUCGACUGCGUGAAGUCGGAAUCGCUAGUAAUCGCGGAUCAGCAUGUCGCGGUGAAUACGUUCCCGGGUCUUGUACACACCGCCCGUCACACCAUGGGAGUGGGUUUUACCAGAAGCGUAUUAGCCUAACCGUAAGGAGGGCGAUUACCACGGUAGGAUUCAUGGCUGGGGUGAAGUCGUAACAAGGCA